AUGACCUUCAUCAUCAUCUUCAUCUGGACUCUCACAGCGUUUGCUCAAGAGUGUAGAGGACAGAUCACCGUCACUCAGAGUCCCUCAAUGACAGCAGCUCAACCAGGACAAACUGUGAACAUCAACUGUAAAACCAGCAGUGAUGUGUUCAAGAAUGAUGGUGCUGAUGAUUAUUUAGCCUGGUACUUACAGAAACCCGGAGAAGCUCCUAAACUCCUGAUUUAUUAUGCAAGCACCCUCCAGUCAGGAACUCCAUCUAGAUUCAGUGGCAGUGGAUCUAACAGUGAUUUCACUCUGACCAUCAGUGGAGUCCAGACUGAAGAUGCUGGACAUUAUUACUGUCAGAGUUUACACAGUCAUCAGUGGCAGCAUGGGUGUUCACACAAAGUCCUGAUGUUCAUAGUCGAGUCUUGUGACAGAAACAGAUCCUCCAUCAUGGACACGACAGAUGUGUUUCCCUGCAGCAUUAGUGCUGGUGAUUUACAGACUCUUUCUGCAAGUUACAUUGUUACGCCAGUAGAUGGAGACAAGAGACUGACUUUAUGA